rnacentral:rRNA from 1 species
CAGUCGCCGCGGGAAUACAGAGGGUGCGAGCGUUAAUCGGAUUUACUGGGCGUAAAGCGUGCGUAGGCGGAUAAUUGAGUCGGAUGUGAAAUCCCCGAGCUUAACUUGGGAAUUGCAUUCGAUACUGGUUAGCUAGAGUGUGGGAGAGGAUGGUAGAAUUCCAGGUGUAGCGGUGAAAUGCGUAGAGAUCUGGAGGAAUACCGAUGGCGAAGGCAGCCAUCUGGCCUAACACUGACGCUGAGGUACGAAAGCAUGGGGAGCAAACAGGAUUAGAUACCCCCGUAGUCCCUGUCUCUUAUAC